rnacentral:rRNA from 1 species
GACUUUGAUCCUGGCUCAGGACGAACGCUGGCGGCGUGCUUAACACAUGCAAGUCGAACGAGAAUCUGUGAUCGAGGAUUCGUCCAAGUGAAGCAGAGGACAGUGGCGGACGGGUGAGUAACGCGUGAGGAACCUGCCUUUCAGAGGGGGACAACAGUUGGAAACGACCGCUAAUACCGCAUGAUACAUUUGGGUGGCAUCAUCUGAAUGUCAAAGAUUUAUCGCUGAAAGAUGGCCUCGCGUCUGAUUAGCUAGUUGGUGAGGUAACGGCCCACCAAGGCGACGAUCAGUAGCCGGACUGAGAGGUUGACCGGCCACAUUGGGACUGAGAUACGGCCCAGACUCCUACGGGAGGCAGCAGUGGGGAAUAUUGGGCAAUGGGCGCAAGCCUGACCCAGCAACGCCGCGUGAAGGAAGAAGGCUUUCGGGUUGUAAACUUCUUUUAAGAGGGAAGAGCAGAAGACUGUACCUCUAGAAUAAGCCACGGCUAACUACGUGCCAGCAGCCGCGGUAAUACGUAGGUGGCAAGCGUUGUCCGGAUUUACUGGGUGUAAAGGGCGUGCAGCCGGGAAUGCAAGUCAGAUGUGAAAUCCAUGGGCUUAACCCAUGAACUGCAUUUGAAACUGUAUUUCUUGAGUACUGGAGAGGCAAUCGGAAUUCCUAGUGUAGCGGUGAAAUGCGUAGAUAUUAGG